rnacentral:piRNA from 1 species
UGCUUUUACGUUUUUUUGAUA